AAGUCGUAACAAGGUUUCCGUAGGUGAACCUGCGGAAGGAUCAUUAAAAAUUUAUAUCCGGGAAUUCGUUUCGUUUUCCCGUGAUUAUUUGUAUUCAAAUCCUACUCUUUAUAAAUAUAUUAAUUAUAUAAAACAAAAAUAAAAAAGAAAACUUUCAACAACGGAUCUCUUGGCUCUC
rnacentral:misc_RNA from 1 species